rnacentral:rRNA from 1 species
ACUCCUACGGGAGGCAGCAGUGGGGAAUUUUGGACAAUGGGCGAAAGCCUGAUCCAGCAAUGCCGCGUGUGUGAAGAAGGCCUUCGGGUUGUAAAGCACUUUUGUCCGGAAAGAAAUCCUUGGCUCUAAUACAGUCGGGGGAUGACGGUACCGGAAGAAUAAGCACCGGCUAACUACGUGCCAGCAGCCGCGGUAAUACGUAGGGUGCGAGCGUUAAUCGGAAUUACUGGGCGUAAAGCGUGCGCAGGCGGUUUGCUAAGACCGAUGUGAAAUCCCCGGGCUCAACCUGGGAACUGCAUUGGUGACUGGCAGGGUAGAGUAUGGCAGAGGGGGGUAGAAUUCCACGUGUAGCAGUGAAAUGCGUAGAGAUGUGGAGGAAUACCGAUGGCGAAGGCAGCCCCCUGGGCCAAUACUGACGCUCAUGCACGAAAGCGUGGGGAGCAAACAUGAUUAGAUACCCCUGUAGUCCCAU